rnacentral:lncRNA from 1 species
CACGCCUGAGUCCUGUUCUUCUCUCCUCCCAUAAGUAACUCUCGUACUCUCUGUCUCGCUGUCUCUGACUCUCUGUCUCUCUGUCUCUGUUUCUUUCUCUCUCAUGUCCAUUAAAAUGUCUAUGUCCUGGAAUGCUCUGGAAGACGUUUUGGACCGUGUUGCAGAAGGAUUUGGUAGCGGUGCUUAGAGCUCCUGAUGCCUGAUUAUAUCAGAAGACUAACGGCAAAAGUCAGGUCCUCACGGGAGAACUAAGAAGCACGUCUGGGACGGAACAGAGAGUCCGCAGUCCUCAGCUUCGUGAUCAGGAUGUCCGUUCUCCUGCUGACUUCUCAGAUAAUUGUUUGUAAAACAGUCGCUGUUUUGGCCCAUCCCAAAGGUUUGGCCCAGCCCCAGUUUCAAGACAGCAAAGCAAUUUCUCUGGAAAUGCAGCUCCGACGCCAUUUUAAAAUGGAUUCACUGUUGUCAAUUUUGACAGAGCGAAACUUUAAACCAGAGGGAAAAACAAACAGAAGGGGCGAUGCCACCAUGUCUUCGUGCCACCUCCCCCUGGCAUUCCAGCCAAGCUCUCCCAGCUGCUGUGAUGUUAACCCUGCACAUGCCGAAUUUCCUGCUUGGGAUUUGAGUAAAUUCACAAUGAGAAACAAAAGGAGAGGGGGUAGUUUUAAAAAUGGCUUUGUAUUUUGUGGCUAUGGUAUCUGGAUGUAUGGUAAACAUUGAGGAAAAGUGUUAUAGGCUUGUAAUUUCAUAAAUGCUAGAAAGAUCAUCCCAAUCGGGGAAACUGCAAAAAAAAAACCCACAAAAAAACAGUAUUAGUGAGACCCGACUUCCCUCCUUUUUUGCCACUAAUGAGCAAAUUAGGAUUUAAACUCUUUGGAUAUUACAACAGUAAGUCUCCAUUCUGAUGAUGUUUACUAUGAUUUUUACCUAUUGGAGCCUCUGGGAAAAGGAAACUGACACCAAAGGAGAGGCACUCACCAGCUGAAAAUACACUUUGGAGUUUUUAAAGAUUUUUAGCAGCUAAUGACCUCUUAUAAAUCAUAUCACAUCUUGUAAAAGCCGACCCUUACAGGCUGAUGUUUUUCUUGCCUGCUGUGCAUAUUUUUUGAGUGUGUCGACUUAGACUCUAAGAAUGACAAGACAGAAAGAGCUUAGGAAAGACCUGCUGGUCGUCCCUGGGGCUGGGAAGCCAGCCCUUUGGCCCUCUAGAGUCAGCCCUUUGUGCUGCCAAGGCUUUUUUCGGAGUCAUGAAUUCCCUGAUCCGAAUUGCCUGGACCUGACUCAGAGCUGAAACCUGAUUCUACCUGCUGGCGGCUGUUUCAGCCUCAGCCUCAGCCCCAGCUGUGCUGAACUAAAGCUGGCACUGGCCCAAAGAAGAGGGCCUCAACUCAGGGGCCCAUGUAGAUAUAGGGUACCCCUUUGGGGGCCUGAACUAUGAGAAGGUAAGACGCUGGCUGAACCAUCAGGGUCACAUACAAAUGUCCACAGGGAAGGGCUUUGGCCCUGAUGGGACCAUCUGAAAUGCAUCAGACAGACUGAUUGCCUUUUAACUUAGGCUACUGCGGAAAGCUGCAAGGUGGGGGAGGGCACCUCCCUGGCUUGUGACCCCUUCGCCCUCUCCGGACAGAUUACACUCUUGACCGCCUCUCAAGAGCCGCCUCACGGCCGUUGCUUGUUCCACUCAGAUUCCUGGGUCGGCUGCAGCUGGCUGCGCUGCACCAGCGCCUGACUCCUGCCCCGUCUCCUGGUGCACACGCUUGCGAGCACUUUGAUUAUUAAACACAGCACGCUCCAGAAGAGGCAGCUCGCUGGAUAAAAGAUCAGGAUGAAAGGGAUGGGAGGUUCAGGAAACCCAUUUUGAAAGCUGUUGAAAACUCAGGAUUUCAUUCUAACGUCUGAACAGGAUGAUCUUUCUGGUUCAGUUGUAUAAAAACGUUUUUCUGUGAGAAUGCUUUUGUUUCUCUCGCGUGCAACCGUUCCAGGUGAAAGGUUUGGAUGAUGGUAAGAGAUUUUUAAAAAUGC